AAAACGAUAACUGGUUUUGCCUUUAUGUAAAUUAAGCGCUUUGUUUUAUUGACUUGAUCUGUUGCUGUCAGCUGCAGAAGAGAAACUCCCAUCAGAUCAACACCAACAUGUUCUCUGUAGCUCUGCUGCUGCUGCUGGUUGCUGGAUCCUGUGUGAAGUGUGAACAGCUGACACAGCCAGCCUCUGUGACUGUGCAGCCAGGUCAACGUCUGGCCAUCAGCUGUCAGGUCUCUUAUUCUCUGAGUAGCCUUCCUACAGCGUGGAUCAGACAGCCUGCAGGGAAAGGACUGGAGUGGAUUGGGGAAGCAGGUGAAGGAUGGACCACAUACUACAAGGAUUCACUGAAGAACAAGUUCAGCAUCAGCUUUGUUUCUUCCAGUAAAACAGUGACUCUGAAUGGACAGAAUAUGCAGCCUGAAGACUCUGCUGUGUAUUAUUGUGCCAGAGAGUCACAGUGACACAAACCAGCAGCACAGCUGUACAAAAACCCGUCAGAACCUGAAAAAGCUGUAUAAACCAACCAGAGGAGGCGCUCCAACACAAUUUAUUGUUGGACUGGUAAAAGUAAAUGUUAUUUGCAAUGU